CUGCUAGUUGAUUCACUUACUCACCCACUAACAUUGAGCUCCUUUUCACUGUCUGUGGGCAAGGGGAAAAAAAAGGGGGGGGAAGGAAGAAAAAAGAAAGCAGGGGAAGAAGGAAGAAAGGAGGGGAAUAAACAAAAUUAUAUAUUUAAAAAUACCCGAGUAGAGCUGCAAAUCAGUUGGGAAAGAGGAUUUUGCCUGCCUUCUUCCUUAUUAUUUUGCUGCUGCAAGGCUGCUUUGCAAUCCGUAGGAAAUACUGUUGUGCUGAGGAAGAAAACAGCUCUCUCCUCCCCCUUUUUUUUUCCCCACCCUCCCCUCCUUUCUUCUUGCCUGAUUCAGAAGCUCCAGGAAUGUGCUAAUUGGCGGCGGCCUCUUCAGAAAGGAAAAUGGAUCUGGUUAUGUGAGGGCGCUGAGGAAACAGUCCCCAGCUACUGAGAGGAAGAAAGGCCGGUGGGAAAUACUCAGGUAGGAAAGCUGUGUAUGUCAUCCAGCAGUAAAAACACUUGUGGGCCUUCGUUCCUUUUCCAGACACUGUGUCGUGUUUGAUGCUUGAAUGGCUGAUCUGGUCACUAUCAUAGUUUAUUUGUUGUUUUAAGAAGCAGCCCUGUUUGGUCAAUUGAUUGCAACAACAAAACACUGCAAGCAAAGCCCUCAGCAUAAACAUUCCUCAGGCUAUCCCCGGUACAGUAUUGAUCCUGAUACGGAAUACAAACAAAUUACUCUGUGUGUGCGCCAUUCCAGCUAUAAAACAGAGCAAUAAUAUGUUCUACUUGCUGCCAAUAAAUGUGCA
rnacentral:lncRNA from 1 species